UUGUUUUUAUCGCUUUGAAUAUUAAUUACAAGAAUAAAAAAUUAAUCACAAGAGAAGUGUAGAACUCCACAUAAAUCUUUGAAAGUCCAAAUCUUUAUCAAAUUAUAUAAAAAUUCAGACAAUGAAAUAAUAAUUUUACAGAAGUGCUAAAUAUGGCGCUGCAUAACGAUGUAUAUGUAAGUUUCAUUCAUAAUAAGCUUUUAUAUUAUUCUUUCUUAAAUAAUUGCCAAUAAUCUGGCAUAUGGAUCGAAACGACAACCAUCCAGUCGCAGAGUGUAAUGUAUCUGGUGGUUGCGAAAUUGCAAGUCGGCACUGCCGUGUCGUUUCGACUCGUCUCAGCUUACGUAAUUCUCGCGAGACCGCGUAAAAGCGCGGGGUGCGGUAGCGAGCACGGGUUCGACACACCCCCUUCGCAGCCGAUCGAUCGCAAAAUGUCUCAGAAUUUCAUCGGGCUUCGGAAUCCUGGUGACUUGUAAUCAUUCGUCAGCUAAUCGGAAUCUUGUCUAGAAAACACGAUUUCUAAACUUAUUUUCGCAGAUAUCAAGAGAGAAGGAGCGAAAUCUCGAGUUAUUUAAUGUUAUAAUUAUGCAAACAAGAUUCAACAUUAUGUAACAAGAAAUACAUUUUUGAUGAUUGUUGAAUAUAAAGGUCUGUAUUAAAAUUAAAUUAAAAAAUCAAUAAUUGUAUCUUUUCAUUUUUCGAGUAAGGACAUAAUUCCCGUGUGAAUUACAAGAGACAAACAACUGCGAAAUUAUAAAAUGACGAGCGCUCAAAAUCGGAUGACUGGAAUCCACUGAUUCAGGACAUCGGAAGGCAACAAAUCUGUCAGCGCUUUACAUAUGCAGACGAAUUCAAAUUCGCAUGCGAAAACUUGGCGUAAUCUCUCACCGAAUUAUUUCCCAAAAGCAAUCGCGUUAUCCCAAAGUAUUUGCGAACAAUGAUCUUAUACAACGGGGGGAGGGGAGGAGAAGGAGACCUUCCCUAGAACGCAAUUAAAAAAGCGCGAACGCGCGAAAAGUGAAACGCCGAAAGUUCGUGCACCGGAAAUCUGAUCUCGCCGAAGGUCAUUCCUAUCUGGGGAGUCAUGUUCGUUUUCGGUACCGAUGUAUAAGGAAGCCAUAAAACAGUGUUAUAUCGACACGUUUUAAUCAGCAACUCGUUGCUAUGAGAAUCUUGUGGCGAAGAAUAGGAAGGAGCGAAAUCGAAAUUAUCAAAGGCAAAUAAAAAGAUUCUUCAGCAAAUAAUAUCUCACGGACAAGCUGUUUAAUGCUGCAAAUAUAAAUUAUGCAGCAGAUUGGCUAACGUAAGACAUAAAUAUCGCUAUCAAAUAAAUGAUCUUAUCAUUGAUAUUACAUUGUGCAAUGGUACAUGUUCUCAAAUUAACUUCAUAUAUACUCGCAGGCGGAUAGUAGAAGGUAUAUACUUGCAGAUGGAUAGUAAGAGAUAUGAUCUAAAAAGAAACUAUUUCACUUAAAAUUAAUUAACCGAAGAUGAUGGAUACGAAUUAACUUUAUCGUCUGAUCGAAAUUACACACUUCAAUAUUUCCUACUGAUGUACGAAUAAAGAAUGUUGUUUAGCACAUCAUUACUGCUGAUGUCUGCUAGAAAUCGUUGUCGUAGGAGCGACGUGGAUGGCACGACGGUACAGCUCCGACCGUUCAAUGUGUCAUCGCAGAUAACGAACAAACCGUAACGAGGAAUGUUAUCGGACGAAAAAUGUAUAUACUUUCACGGCGACAGCGCGCGCGACGUCGUUCGUACAAGCACAUUCGUUCAUUCAUUCAAUGUCCGCUUGUUCAAUAAAACGAUCUAGUAGAUCCUCGCGGAUGUUCCUCGUGAAUUGUCAGAGUAACUAUUAUUGCGAGCGAGAUAACGACAAUGAACGAGAGGGAAGUGAUUAAAUAACAAAAUCUUAUUUAAAUAUAAGUAAAUCUCCCUUCCUCCUUCGUCGUUUUAAGUCGACGGUCGAGUAAUAGUAAAAAUAUUUCAAGUCGCACGUUGAAAACUAACAAUGAAUGCUGUACGAUAAACUUGUUUAAAGUUAUAUGAAAAAAGAAAUCGAAAUGGAAACAUCUUUUGUUGAAGUAAAAUUCAAAAUUUUGAAAAAAUCAUAUAGAAGAUUGUCUGUUUAACCGAAACUAAAUAAAAAUUUUACUCUUGGAGAAAAGAAGUUAAUAAAUUUAUAAUUAACGUAAUAUACAUACAGCACAUAAAUUUUCUGCGAAUGACUCUCUUUUAUUUAUAAUAAUGUGACAUUUACAAAAUUUCGCGAAAACACGCUCCUUGAAAAUUAUUGAAUCAUCCGUAAGAAUAGAGAGGAGAUGGAGAGAGGAACAUGGAAAUGCACGAGUAACACGCGAGGACUAUACAUCGCGUCGUAAACACAUAAUUCACAGUUUUUCAAUCGCAAAUCAUCGUCGGUCCUCAAGCGAAACAGCGACACAGUGACACGAUCGAUGAUUAAACUCCGAGAAUUAUUUUCGGGAAUUGCGUCAGCGAGUUGCACGGACGUCAGCGGUGAACCAGAAAUCGAGUGUUCCGAUCGCACGGCAAAAUUGUGACGAUCGGGACUACAUCGAUUGUCAUGGAGUACCGUCGAGGCACGAGAGAGAGAGGAAGUAGCUACUUGAAGGAACGAGUGUAUCAGGUAUAGCUUUCUUCCUCUUUAUCUCACUAUCCAACUUUGUAACGUUCCGAUUCCGCCAUGCCUAUAUGAACGUCGACGACGUCGUUGUCACCCGAAAGUCGACGUCGUUGAUAUAGCAUUGAUGUAUAGCAUCGUCUCUCGUCGACGAACUGGAGGACGAGAUAUUGCGAGACGACUGAAAGAGCGACGGAAGAGAGAAGUUCAUCGAUGAGACCGUGACAUUUGUUCGGUCAAAAAAUCGAUACGUUAACUUAUCCGGAAACCGCAAUUGCAGCUUGCGCAAAUAACCGAAUUAUCUUCUAUUGUACAGAUUGUAAUUAUACAAUUCUAAGUAUAAUAAUUAUAGAUAAUAAUUAAACAAUAUUACAUCAGAUUAUGAUAAUUAUAAAAAAUUAUCGUGAUUUAAAUAAAGUAUCACAAAACACGUUUUUCUCAUUUA